ACAUGAUCCUUGAGGUCCCUUCCAACCCGGGUAAUUCUGUGAUUCUGUGUGAUUCUGUGAUCUGUGUUGUAGGUGCCUUGAUCUCUUCUUCUCAGUAUGUGAAGCUCUAGGCAUGAAACUACUCUUAUUAAAAUAAAUAGGAAAACUACAAAGCCCUGGAGGUAUAGUAAAUGUGUUGUUGAAUGGAUGCAUUAGAUGAGACAGAAAGUGAAAUUGCUGCAACUCAUUGCAUUUGUAUUGAAACUUUCUCUGCUUGGGAUUUAGAUUGUUCUUUGGGAAAUGGGCAAAAACUAAUUGGCAUAUUUUUUUCCAAGACACAGCUGCAAUUGUAGAAAUUUGUGUGUGGUUAAUUUUUACUAUUUGUAAGGUUUAGUUCAGGUAAACAGAUCUUGAUAGUCUUCAUUGCUUAACCCUGUCCCAUUCCAAAGGUCAUGCAGGAAUAAAUAAAAGAGAAAAACUCACAGGUUUAUGUUGCAGGUCAGUGAGGUGCUUUGUGGUUUACUACUUUUGCAGUCCAAGUUGUUGUUUAUUGGUCUGCACAUUGGUACCAUAUUUCUUCUGUUUUACUUUCCAUUCAGACUUCUCUCUCUUCUGCUCAAAGAACAUAGCAGAAUUACAUUACACCUUACUGUUAUUUGCAGUUUGCUUUUUAAGGCUGGAUGGAGUAUGGGUGUGAUUUUUAUGCAAUACGUAACACCCAAAUUAAGUGAGUGAAUUUUGGAUUCCUUUGUUGUUAGUUUUAGUUUUAGUUGUACUGUACUGUACAAUUAAAACCAACUUUAAGAGUGUCACGAAAACACAUCCAGGAGUUAAAAUGAACAUGUGAAUGAUGUUUGUGAACAGCUGACCAACAGUUUGCACUGCACGUCAUGUCUUAGAAGAGGGAACACAGCAACCUAGAUCAAAGUAUCUCAGUAAUGCUGCUGCAGCUGUUUAAUUUAAAGAAAAUUAUUUAAUGGGAAACUUCACCGAUCAUGCUCCUGGAUAGUGACAAUCAAGUCUGAAUGAAACUCUUGGAUUGGAUACACUUCUGUUCAGUUUCACUAAUCUACUAUGGAUUAUUCAUCUCUCUUUGAAAAAAUCUGAUUGAUUUCUGUGUCUUAUAUGAACCUUGUGAUAAAUUACAUAAGUAAAAGCAUCGUGUAAAAGGGGAGAGAUAUCUUUUCCAGAAUCAUUUGGACAUCCACAGUUCAUUAAUAGAGAAAUCUGCCGAUAUGUUAUCAGUUAGAACAUAAACUUGGUUCUGUAGUCUAACCAAGUGGACUCUGAUUUCUGGCAUGACCAACAUAUAUAAUUUGUGUGACAGAUGCAUCACAUUUCCAGUGAAAAAACAUAUGGACUUCAAAGAAUGUUUAUUUUCAGGAUUUGUGUGAGCUGCUUAUCAUACAAACUAAGUAUUUUCCAGGCUUGGAUCCUGUUGAAUUGAAGGACUAUAAAAAGAUUACUCAAAAUGCCCAGAUACUGUCAGCACAAAUAAUGCUCUUCUGCAGCAUCCUAAUGAAAAAAACCAAAACCAAACAGAGAUUAUGUAACUAGUCUGUCUGAUAUUUUAAUAUGUCUUGAUCCUAGAAAAACAUAUUUGAAAAAUGCCUUAUGGGCUAAGAAAUUAAUAAAGAUAAAUGCAAGCUGUGAAUAUAACAUUAAUAAUGUGUUGAGUGUUCUGAAUGUUUUCAGACUCUUUGUGUAUUUCUUCUUACAUCAAAAAGUAGGGUUCAUUCCUGGGAGAUUUUUGGAGGUAGAAGUCAAGUCACCAUUCCCCUUCUCUCCUUCCAGUUUGUGUUGUAAAAGAAAAACACAUUUCUGUCUGUGAACAGUCUUGGACGAAGGACUUGGGCAUGUGUGCUCUAUGUUCGUACCUUUUCAGAAGUUUUUUGGGGGCUGUUUUACUCUGCAAUCCAUGGAUCGUUGUUCUAUAAAGGAAUGCAUAAAUGUAACCACUUGGAAAUAAUCCAUAGAUUGCAGAGUUGUUGGUUCCAAAGGUAAAAGUGUCUCUGCUGCAUAUAUGUGUGAAGAGGGGGCACAGGGAGAGGCAUUCCAAAGAAAAUGGACAGCUAUGGUAGAGUACAAUGAAAUAUUUUGAUCUUGAGCCCCAAGUAGUUUGAUAGUGGACUGAAAAGAAAAUGUGUUGCCGCUCUUUUUUUUCCUGUAUCUUAAAGUUUUACAGUCUUUCUGACUUUGUAUAGUAUUUAAAGUAGCAGAUUUUGCUUCUGCGUCCUAGAAUAUGUGGAAAAGCCUGCUGGAGCUCUUUGGUUACAUGUAAUAAAAAUAUAUCAGUCAGUGUGCUUUGCAGGGAAAUGUGAUGAUAGCUGAAUUUGAGAAUUCAUAUUGAUGGAACUACAGAGACUGGAUGCGGGGAGUAGGAUCUCAUGCUGCUAAAGAGAGUGCUUUGACGCUGGUGGAAGUCUGUAUUAGUCCCACAUCAAGAUUUGCCAUAUAAAUGAAUCUUCUGUGUGAAUAAUUUAUGUUUUCAAAAGAUUUAGAUUUUUACUAUGUCUAAUGAACAGAGGAAUUCAUUAAGACUCUAGAAAUUGUCUUGUGUAUUCUAACCUAGUUGUUGUAAUCAUGCAUGUAAAUUUUUAACUGAAAUUAAAAUGUUAAUUGACGUAAUUUGGUAGAGUGGAGUACAUUUUUAAGACAAAUAAUGACUUGAGUGAGUUACUUAACUCAGGAUACUUGUAAUUUAAAGUGAGAUAUAAUAAAGAAUUGACAAAAUUCUGAGUCUGCUUUAGGGAUGACAUCCAUGGGCUGGAAGUGACCAGGGUAACAGGUAAAGCAUUAAGUCAUCCACAGUUUAAUUCUACAUUUCAUGUUCUAAAAUCUUCUUUGAAGUGCUGCAUGCUUCUUAUUGAUGCUUCAGCAUGCACAUCGAAGAGAAAGCUGAUACUAUGCAAAGUAUUUGAAAACAAUACUUUGUUUUUGUAAGCACUUAGAUUUAGGAGAUGAACCUAAAAGCAGAAAUACUUGUGGCAUUUAAAAUUCAGAGAUAUCUAGGUCAAUCUAUAUCUGUGACAGGGGUGGAGGCAAUAGGCCUGUGGGCCCCCUGACCCCAAAAAUGGGAAGGGAAAAAGGAAAGGGGUAGGGAGAUGGGAGCUGAGCUCAAGGAAACGAACAGAGCAGCAGCAACGAUCUAUGGAGGAGAACUUAAAUUACUAACUAUGAUAUUGGAAUGCAAGAUAGCGCAAUAUAAUACAAUCUAAUUGAAACUGAGGCUAAAAAAUCAAGUAAAAUAAGAAAGAGAGCUUUUCUGAAGACCAAGAAGCCUACUUUGAAAUUGAAGGUGCCACGGCUUGUUAGUACACCCACACCCACUGCCAGGCAGUGAGACAGAGAGCCAGCGUCACUUCCGUGAUGUAUUUCCCUCUCUGACCAUGAGGUCCUCUGGGACAUGUAGUUCUUCUUCUCUGUGCUCCAUAUGAUGUUAUGAUGUGGAAUACCAAUAGCAAAAAUUACAAACCAUGACAUCUUGGUUCAGAUGUUUCUACACCAUCCAAAUGUCUGUGUUAGAAUUAGUAUUUCUAAAUACAAAUGAAAAUAUGGUUAGUAUAUGAGCACUGAAAAAUUGCUGGCAUUAUUUAAUAUCUUAAGAACUUUUAAAACAUUGAUUGUAUUAUUGCUUGUUUAUGCUUUCGUUGCUCAUUUACUCAGAGAUAAAUGCAAACCUCUUGUCAAGAGCAUUGAAUUAUUAAUGGCCAAUACUGUAACAAUAAACUCUUUUUUUGUUGUUGUUGUUGUUGUUAUACAAGUAUAGAACACUGAACAAAAUAAAGUCAGAAUAGACUA